AGGGAAAGGUGAAAAGCACCCCGGAAGGGGAGUGAAAUAGAACCUGAAACCGUGUGCUUACAAGUAGUCAGAGCCCGUUAAUGGGUGAUGGCGUGCCUUUUGUAGAAUGAACCGGCGAGUUACGAUUUGAUGCAAGGUUAAGCAGUAAAUGUGGAGCCGUAGCGAAAGCGAGUCUGAAUAGGGCGUUUAGUAUUUGGUCGUAGACCCGAAACCAGGUGAUCUACCCUUGGUCAGGUUGAAGUUCAGGUAACACUGAAUGGAGGACCGAACCGACUUACGUUGAAAAGUGAGCGGAUGAACUGAGGGUAGCGGAGAAAUUCCAAUCGAACCUGGAGAUAGCUGGUUCUCUCCGAAAUAGCUUUAGGGCUAGCCUCAAGUGAUGAUUAUUGGAGGUAGAGCACUGUUUGGACGAGGGGCCCCUCUCGGGUUACCGAAUUCAGACAAACUCCGAAUGCCAAUUAAUUUAACUUGGGAGUCAGAACAUGGGUGAUAAGGUCCGUGUUCGAAAGGGAAACAGCCCAGACCACCAGCUAAGGUCCCAAAAUAUAUGUUAAGUGGAAAAGGAUGUGGCGUUGCCCAGACAACUAGGAUGUUGGCUUAGAAGCAGCCAUCAUUUAAAGAGUGCGUAAUAGCUCACUAGUCGAGUGACACUGCGCCGAAAAUGUACCGGGGCUAAACAUAUUACCGAAGCUGUGGAUUGUCCUUUGGACAAUGGUAGGAGAGCGUUCUAAGGGCGUUGAAGCAUGAUCGUAAGGACAUGUGGAGCGCUUAGAAGUGAGAAUGCCGGUGUGAGUAGCGAAAGACGGGUGAGAAUCCCGUCCACCGAUUGACUAAGGUUUCCAGAGGAAGGCUCGUCCGCUCUGGGUUAGUCGGGUCCUAAGCUGAGGCCGACAGGCGUAGGCGAUGGAUAACAGGUUGAUAUUCCUGUACCACCUAUAAUCGUUUUAAUCGAUGGGGGGACGCAGUAGGAUAGGCGAAGCGUGCGAUUGGAUUGCACGUCUAAGCAGUAAGGCUGAGUAUUAGGCAAAUCCGGUACUCAUUAAGGCUGAGCUGUGAUGGGGAGAAGACAUUGUGUCUUCGAGUCGUUGAUUUCACACUGCCGAGAAAAGCCUCUAGAUAGAAAAUAGGUGCCCGUACCGCAAACCGACACAGGUAGUCAAGAUGAGAAUUCUAAGGUGAGCGAGCGAACUCUCGUUAAGGAACUCGGCAAAAUGACCCCGUAACUUCGGGAGAAGGGGUGCUCUUUAGGGUUAACGCCCAGAAGAGCCGCAGUGAAUAGGCCCAAGCGACUGUUUAUCAAAAACACAGGUCUCUGCUAAACCGUAAGGUGAUGUAUAGGGGCUGACGCCUGCCCGGUGCUGGAAGGUUAAGAGGAGUGGUUAGCUUCUGCGAAGCUACGAAUCGAAGCCCCAGUAAACGGCGGCCGUAACUAUAACGGUCCUAAGGUAGCGAAAUUCCUUGUCGGGUAAGUUCCGACCCGCACGAAAGGCGUAACGAUUUGGGCACUGUCUCAACGAGAGACUCGGUGAAAUC
rnacentral:rRNA from 1 species